AUUAAGUUUACUGCAAAUAAAGGUAACAUAAAAAUUUAAAAGGCUGUCUCCCUCGUAAAAGUUCACGCAGUGUAAUGACUGACCUCAGUGAAAGGGAAAUGAAAAAGUGCCAGAUUAUUGGGCCAGUGGACUUCUGAGGUUUAAUUAAGGUUGGCUGCUCAAAGAGUCCUCGUGCUCCUUCAUCACUCAUGUCAAACUGCAGAGUUGCAUUGCAGGACGUUGACCAAACCAGAGGACAGCCCUGUCGGUGAUGUCAUCAUCAUUUGGUGUGCACUAACGCUGCUUUGUGCUAAUUGCCCAGAGCAAAAACAGUCUCCAACAUUUGAGCCUGUCUGAAUGAUUGUUGUAUCACCACACCAAAGGACAAGAAAUCUAUUCUCCGCUUGAAAGUGAGAGUCCGUUAUAAGAUGGGACAGGAGGAAGUUCACCACUAGGUGUACCAUUUUGUUACACAUGAAACUCUUCUCUCCAUUUCAAAUGAAUCAAUUUGGUAAAUGCUAUAAAGUAAAAAAAAGACCAGAAUAAAGUGUCAUGUUAUAUGUUGCACACAGUGUUAAAACCAGUGGACCCACCAAACCUCAGCCUCUAAUCUUUUUUAUCAACAAUUUUAAGUAGUUGAAACCAAACCACAAAGAUGUCACUUUAAGACACGGCUUCUGGGUUUUUUGUAUCUCCCAACUCCCACUUUCUUUGGGAAAAUGUUGAU